AUAGGUAGCCAUUAUAUAUAUGUCGUUUUCUGUUGUGAGGUUUAUAUAUAUAUUCUUCAUAUAUAAUAUAAUGAGCUCAGCUAGGUAUAGGUAUAGGUAUAGGUUUUUGAUUGCUCGUCUUUAUCAAAAUAUCCUUUGUAUAAUAUCUUUAUAUAUUAAAAGUGCCUAUCUAACGGCAUUUCUUGGUUUAACAGAAUAUACUUUAUAAAUAAAAGAAUAUUCUGUUAAAUUUAACCCCAAAAAAUCAUCCUUAUUUUUUAACGCCGUUAACUUAUUAUUCUUAUAAAAAAAAUUUAAAAAAAAGUUUCUCACUCUCAGUCAUAGUCUCAAUCGUUUCAUUCUCACGCCAAUCGAUCUCUUCACUCUUCCCCUCCAUUCUCAGUCUCACUCCCAAUCGCAGAUCGUCGAAACCAACAGCCCGACGUACCAAAGCUUCCUUUCACCGACUCCUCCAUUUCACUCUCCCAAACUCAAUCGGCUUAUGAUCCAGUUCGAGUGAGAAGGCGAGCCCAAUCGUUCAGCACCCAGGUAAGCCACUCCUUCCAUUUUUCCCUUAUCUAAAAUUUCAGUUAAAAAUUUGAUUUUCCUUUUUAGAAAAAAUCUCGUUCAGUGAUUGGGUGUGAUUACAUAUAUAUAUUUUAUAUAACCCAUUUAAAUCGGCUUACAAUCCCGUUUGAGCGAGAAGGCGAGCCCAAUCGUUCAGCACCCAGUUGUUAAUCUUGAGAUACUUGGCCAGAUGUCCCAGAAACUGCAAUUUCCUUUAUAGAGGACGGUAGAAAAGUGCCAGCUGCUUAACGUUGUAUUCGUGGCAGAUACAGAGUGAAACUUAAUUAUCUUUCACUGUUAUUGCGACCUUAAUCAGACUCACUCUACUCUGAGAAGUACAGAGUCAGCGGAGUUUGGUAAACGGCCAGGGAGACUUUUUAUCCAUUUUAAAACAUUUAUCGUUUGUUGCAUAGAAUGAUAUAAUCAUGUUUUUUUGCUUCUCUUUUUUUGGGGCUAUUGAAUGGUGUUUAAUAUAUGAGGGUCUUCUUUAAGAGCUAACAGCGAGUGGUGUUUUCAAAAAAAAAAAGAAAGUUUUGACUUUUCUUCUUUUCUUUUUUAUUUAGUUCAUAUAUAUCAAUUUUUUUAUUUUUUUUUUCAAAUAUGAUUGCAACAAAAAAGACUUUUUUUGUUGUGUGAUUUUAUACAUAAAUAUUAAGAAAAAAUUAAUCGUACCGAAGUUAAUUGUGCCAAAGACAUGACUUGAUCUCAUUAUGAUAUUAGUCUAAAAUUGAUUUGACUUUUUUUUUGGUGUGAUUUUAUACUUAUAAUGUGAUUCAAAUUGAUUUUUUUUUUUUAUGUUUAUGUUUUCUAACUUUGUAUAUUAGUUCUUUUUCUUUCCCUAUAACAUUACAUGAAUAGAAAAAUUGAAUUUUUCUUUCUUUUGUUCUCAGAUAACACAAUACUUGACAUCAAUUCAAACUUCAAUUUUGUCAUGAUUUGACUACUAAUAAUUUGAGUUAUAGUAGUGCAAGAAUUAUCUUCCAUAAUUUCUAAUUGGUCAAAUGCCUCUCCUUUCCUAAUUUAGUAGAUUCUAGACUUUUGUAUUUAUUUAAUUUAUGUAGUUCUACCACCAUCGAAAAUUAUUUCAACUGUUUUUACAAAUUGAAGCAUCUCGUGGCCAAGUUAUUACUUUUGGAUGAGAUGUUUCAAAAGAAGCUGAUGUUGAUUUAAUGAUCAAAACAGCAGUUGAUGCUUGGGGAACUGUUGAUGUAUUAGUAAAUAAUGCAGGUUGUUUGAAACUUUCCUUGUCUUAUGUUGUUUUCAUUCCACAUUCGAUCUCUUGAUGCUUUUUCGGUGUUUUCUGGAAU